rnacentral:rRNA from 1 species
UACGUAGGGUGCGAGCGUUGUCCGGAAUUAUUGGGCGUAAAGAGCUUGUAGGCGGUCUGUCGCGUCUGCUGUGAAAAUCCGGGGCUCAACCCCAAGUCUGCAGUGGAUACGGGCAGACUAGAGUCAGGUAGGGGAGAACGGAAUUCCUGGUGUAGCGGUGAAAUGCGUAGAUAUCGGAAGGAACACCAGUGGCGAAAGCGGCUUCCUGGUCCAGCACCGACGUCAGGCACGAAAGCGUGGGGAGCAAACAGG